rnacentral:sRNA from 1 species
UCUCCUUCAGGGCACGUUGAUAUGUGCCG